rnacentral:rRNA from 1 species
GUUAAGUCCCGCAACGAGCGCAACCCUUACUUUUAGUUGCCAUCAUUUAGUUGGGCACUCUGAAAGAACUGCCAGUGAUAAGCUGGAGGAAGGUGGGGAUGACGUCAAGUCCUCAUGGCCCUUACGUGUUGGGCUACACACGUGCUACAAUGGUAUUCACAACAGGAAGCAAGACGGCAACGUUUAGCAAAUCCUAAAAAAUACCUCAGUUCGGAUUGCACUCUGCAACUCGAGUGCAUGAAGCUGGAAUUACUAGUAAUCGUGGAUCAGCGUGCCACGGUGAAUGCGUUCCCGGGUCUU